GGGGCUCGCACGGUUACAGCCUGAGGAGCCCCGGGCUGCCCAGCAGGGAAAGGAGAAGUGGGAGAGGGGUCUGACAGGGGGCUGCCCCGUCCCAGCCUGCAGCACGGGGAAGUUGGGCAGAGAAAGUUUCAGUGAAGGAGAGCCCGGUGAUGGGAUGAAGAAAUGGGUUCAGGAAGCAAAAGGAGGGUUUUGUCCCCACAGACACACCCGGAGCAGGGAAGGCUCUGCUGGAGCUGGCCCCAGCCAGGCCCAGGAGCCGGUGAGCGCAUGAAGGCAGCAGGCCCGGUCCCCUCCUGCGCUCCCGGCUGCAGGAAAAACACUGAGGUGAAAGACGAACCUCAACUGGUACCAGGCCUUAGUUUACCCAAGAGGUGCUUUGUUUUCAAUAAAAGCCCCGUUAGGAUUUUGUGGUCGGCUGCCAGCUCGCAGCUCACUGAUGUGGUGGCCUCCUCGAACCCAGCCGUAACCUCCACGCUGACUCUUGCAACAGGAUAUUUGGCUCCUUUGGUCUAGAGACACAUCGAAACAAACAUUUUAUUUUUCCCUUAUCUUUUUUUUUAAGGUUUCGGUUUCAUCCUACGUCACUUUAAAUAGCUAUUUUUGCUGGUGUGGCUAUCCGGUCUUGUGAAUUUCACUAAAGAAACAACAAGAGUUCCCUAACACUGACAGAUAAAGGAUUAAAACAAUUAACGCAAUCACCCAUUACUUGAACAAAGGCUCUAUUGUGAAAACUUAUUACUGUUAAAACCUUUGUGUGGGGUAUUUUGGGGAACGAAAUCCAGUUCCAUAAAUAAAGCAAUAUUCUUGCAAAGCUCGAGGCAGCGGUGGCAGAAGAAGAGCUGGGCAGCACCAGAAGAACAGCGCGUUUUUGGGGGCUGUAACUGUAUCCAAAGAUCCCAGGGUCGGAUUCAGAACCUUGGCUUCCCUCUGGCAGCCCUUGCUACCAGCCCUAGUUUUGGGAAACACGGAGUUUACUCGUGAAUAGACAUGGAGAUGAGGACACAGCACACAUCAGGAUUCAUUUCAAGAUCGGCUAACCUAGGAAUGGCUGAGAAAUGAGGCGCUGAGCAUCACCCCUCACACCGUAUGGGCACCGCGACCUAAUGAAACCCGUGUGCUGCAGUUCCCAGCAAGAACUCCACUGCUGAGCCUACAGGGGCAGCUGGUGGUGCCCAGCAGCCGAAAUGAUGGUGUCUGCUGACUCUGGAAGUUGGGGGGCUCCACCUGGGAAUAAACUGUGUCUUCCCGCUCACCCAGGACCCUCCUGCAUCACUGCCACCAAUGCUGGGUCUUGGGACAGCAGGGGCGUGAGAAGAAAGGACUGAAGUCCACAUGAGUCCACAAGAUCGCUGUAGGAAUGCAUUCACUCAAACGUUUUAUGCUUUUACAACAGCAACAGAAUUGUAUCGUGUUUGUUUAUGCUUUCAAAUCACUGAAAAUCAGAAUCCAUCUGAAAAGUGAAAGUGAACCUAGCAACUGAAGAAUGGGGAAAUUAAGGUAAAAACAAACAGGACAGCUUGAUAGCGAGUGCCUGAUAAACAGACAUUUUACUAAAAAGGAGACUUUUCAGAUAUUUCCAUGACAUGUUGUUGCCACUUGAAAUGUGGUGCCUUCUGGUGCUGUCUCAGAAUAUCUGGCAGAACAUGUUGUAUGUAAUCAGAUGCUAUUUUUUCAAUGUAUAACUUUUUUAAAUCCUGUC